AUUGAACGCUGGCGGCAGGCCUAACACAUGCAAGUCGAACGAGUGGCGGACGGGUGAGUAAUGCUUGGGAAUCUGGCUGAUGGAGGGGGAUAACGACGGGAAACGGUCGCUAAUACCGCGUACCAUAGGAUGAGCCCAAGUGGGAUUAGGUAGUUGGUGGGGUAACGGCUCACCAAGGCGACGAUCUCUAGCUGGUCUGAGAGGAUGACCAGCCAAACCGGAACUGAGACACGGCCCGGACUCCUACGGGAGGCAGCAGUGGGGAAUAUUGCACAAUGGGCGCAAGCCUGACACAGCCAUGCCGCGUGAAUGAAGAAGGCCUUCGGGUUGUAAAGUUCUUUCAGUGACGAGGCGUUAAUCACAGAAGAAGCACCGGCUAACUCCGUGCCAGCAGCCGCGGUAAUAC
rnacentral:rRNA from 1 species